CUUGACUUCACACUGUCGUUAAUUAUCAAUAGAAAACACUUUUAUGUUUUAGAAAAUAAAAAUUAAGAGAGGGGUUUGGGUCGGAGCUGAGCGAGAGGUGUCGUCGUCUACACUACUCAAUCUGAUCUAUAAAUAGCUGCCCUCCCACGCCACACUGCUGCACCCACCCAACCUAGCAUAUAAUAAUAUUCAGGCAAUAUAAUACACAUACAUUACACAAUAUUCUUGGAUCAUCGGAAAAGAAAGAUAGAUGAUGAUGAUGAGAAGGAGGAGCUUACUUGCCUGCAGCUUUUUCCUAGUGCUGCUGCCUCUUCUUCUCAUCACCUCCUCCGCCUUUGAUUCCGCCGUGGCACCCUCAGGUUAUUGUUCUGGGAAGUGCAGCGGUCGAUGCGCGAAGGCUGGGGUGAAGGAUAGGUGCAUAAAGUACUGCGAACUGUGCUGUGCCAAAUGCAAGUGUGUGCCUUCUGGGACUUACGGCAACAAGCACCAGUGCCCUUGCUACAGAGACUUGAAGAACUCCAAGGGCAAACCAAAAUGCCCCUAAGCUAGCUAAUAUAUCAUUUCAUAUGUAUUCCAACUAUUUCUUUCUUUCUCAUUUCUCAUUUCUCAUGCCAAAUAAUUAAGCUAAUAAGCUUUGGAUUUAUUCUCUUUUACUACUUCAAUUCGAUCUGCUAGGAUUUUGAUCUUAGCUUAAUUAUAUUGCAUUGUACUGAUCGAGUUAGUAGUUAUAUAUGUUGUUGUUGUUUGAUCUUAUGGUUCUUGUACUCAUCGCUUCCUGCCAGGCUACUGCAUCUCAUCUGAUUACUAAGGUUGUUUAA